UUAAGCGACUAAGCGUACACGGUGGAUGCCCUGGCAGUCAGAGGCGAUGAAGGACGUGCUAAUCUGCGAUAAGCGUCGGUAAGGUGAUAUGAACCGUUAUAACCGGCGAUUUCCGAAUGGGGAAACCCAGUGUGAUUCGUCACACUAUCAUUAACUGAAUCCAUAGGUUAAUGAGGCGAACCGGGGGAACUGAAACAUCUAAGUACCCCGAGGAAAAGAAAUCAACCGAGAUUCCCCCAGUAGCGGCGAGCGAACGGGGAGGAGCCCAGAGCCUGAAUCAGUGUGUGUGUUAGUGGAAGCGUCUGGAAAGGCGCGCGAUACAGGGUGACAGCCCCGUACACAAAAAUGCACAUAUUGUGAGCUCGAUGAGUAGGGCGGGACACGUGGUAUCCUGUCUGAAUAUGGGGGGACCAUCCUCCAAGGCUAAAUACUCCUGACUGACCGAUAGUGAACCAGUACCGUGAGGGAAAGGCGAAAAGAACCCCGGCGAGGGGAGUGAAAAAGAACCUGAAACCGUGUACGUACAAGCAGUGGGAGCACGCUUAGGCGUGUGACUGCGUACCUUUUGUAUAAUGGGUCAGCGACUUAUAUUCUGUAGCAAGGUUAACCGAAUAGGGGAGCCGAAGGGAAACCGAGUCUUAACUGGGCGUUAAGUUGCAGGGUAUAGACCCGAAACCCGGUGAUCUAGCCAUGGGCAGGUUGAAGGUUGGGUAACACUAACUGGAGGACCGAACCGACUAAUGUUGAAAAAUUAGCGGAUGACUUGUGGCUGGGGGUGAAAGGCCAAUCAAACCGGGAGAUAGCUGGUUCUCCCCGAAAGCUAUUUAGGUAGCGCCUCGUGAAUUCAUCUCCGGGGGUAGAGCACUGUUUCGGCAAGGGGGUCAUCCCGACUUACCAACCCGAUGCAAACUGCGAAUACCGGAGAAUGUUAUCACGGGAGACACACGGCGGGUGCUAACGUCCGUCGUGAAGAGGGAAACAACCCAGACCGCCAGCUAAGGUCCCAAAGUCAUGGUUAAGUGGGAAACGAUGUGGGAAGGCCCAGACAGCCAGGAUGUUGGCUUAGAAGCAGCCAUCAUUUAAAGAAAGCGUAAUAGCUCACUGGUCGAGUCGGCCUGCGCGGAAGAUGUAACGGGGCUAAACCAUGCACCGAAGCUGCGGCAGCGACGCUGAUGCGUUGUUGGGUAGGGGAGCGUUCUGUAAGCCUGCGAAGGUGUGCUGUGAGGCAUGCUGGAGGUAUCAGAAGUGCGAAUGCUGACAUAAGUAACGAUAAAGCGGGUGAAAAGCCCGCUCGCCGGAAGACCAAGGGUUCCUGUCCAACGUUAAUCGGGGCAGGGUGAGUCGACCCCUAAGGCGAGGCCGAAAGGCGUAGUCGAUGGGAAACAGGUUAAUAUUCCUGUACUUGGUGUUACUGCGAAGGGGGGACGGAGAAGGCUAUGUUGGCCGGGCGACGGUUGUCCCGGUUUAAGCGUGUAGGCUGGUUUUCCAGGCAAAUCCGGAAAAUCAAGGCUGAGGCGUGAUGACGAGGCACUACGGUGCUGAAGCAACAAAUGCCCUGCUUCCAGGAAAAGCCUCUAAGCAUCAGGUAACAUCAAAUCGUACCCCAAACCGACACAGGUGGUCAGGUAGAGAAUACCAAGGCGCUUGAGAGAACUCGGGUGAAGGAACUAGGCAAAAUGGUGCCGUAACUUCGGGAGAAGGCACGCUGAUAUGUAGGUGAGGUCCCUCGCGGAUGGAGCUGAAAUCAGUCGAAGAUACCAGCUGGCUGCAACUGUUUAUUAAAAACACAGCACUGUGCAAACACGAAAGUGGACGUAUACGGUGUGACGCCUGCCCGGUGCCGGAAGGUUAAUUGAUGGGGUUAGCCGCAAGGCGAAGCUCUUGAUCGAAGCCCCGGUAAACGGCGGCCGUAACUAUAACGGUCCUAAGGUAGCGAAAUUCCUUGUCGGGUAAGUUCCGACCUGCACGAAUGGCGUAAUGAUGGCCAGGCUGUCUCCACCCGAGACUCAGUGAAAUUGAACUCGCUGUGAAGAUGCAGUGUACCCGCGGCAAGACGGAAAGACCCCGUGAACCUUUACUAUAGCUUGACACUGAACAUUGAGCCUUGAUGUGUAGGAUAGGUGGGAGGCUUUGAAGUGUGGACGCCAGUCUGCAUGGAGCCGACCUUGAAAUACCACCCUUUAAUGUUUGAUGUUCUAACGUUGACCCGUGAUCCGGGUUGCGGACAGUGUCUGGUGGGUAGUUUGACUGGGGCGGUCUCCUCCUAAAGAGUAACGGAGGAGCACGAAGGUUGGCUAAUCCUGGUCGGACAUCAGGAGGUUAGUGCAAUGGCAUAAGCCAGCUUGACUGCGAGCGUGACGGCGCGAGCAGGUGCGAAAGCAGGUCAUAGUGAUCCGGUGGUUCUGAAUGGAAGGGCCAUCGCUCAACGGAUAAAAGGUACUCCGGGGAUAACAGGCUGAUACCGCCCAAGAGUUCAUAUCGACGGCGGUGUUUGGCACCUCGAUGUCGGCUCAUCACAUCCUGGGGCUGAAGUAGGUCCCAAGGGUAUGGCUGUUCGCCAUUUAAAGUGGUACGCGAGCUGGGUUUAGAACGUCGUGAGACAGUUCGGUCCCUAUCUGCCGUGGGCGCUGGAGAACUGAGGGGGGCUGCUCCUAGUACGAGAGGACCGGAGUGGACGCAUCACUGGUGUUCGGGUUGUCAUGCCAAUGGCACUGCCCGGUAGCUAAAUGCGGAAGAGAUAAGUGCUGAAAGCAUCUAAGCACGAAACUUGCCCCGAGAUGAGUUCUCCCUGACUCCUUGAGAGUCCUGAAGGAACGUUGAAGACGACGACGUUGAUAGGCCGGGUGUGUAAGCGCAGCGAUGCGUUGAGCUAACCGGUACUAAUGAACCGUGAGGCUUAACCUU
rnacentral:rRNA from 1 species